rnacentral:tRNA from 1 species
AGUCUUAUAGUUUAAUAAAAAUAUUAAAUUGCAAAUUUAAUGAUGAAAAUUUUCUAAGGCUU